AAUAGCUGGCAUUUUUUGUUAUUUGCUUAUAGGCUUCUUAGUUUUUGUGUAUAAUUAGGCUUUUCGUUUGAUCUGCAUUGAUUUGCGCAAACAUGGGAGUCUCAUUUCAACUUUUCACUCUUGCAUGCUUGUUCCUUGCUCACAGUGGAAUAUGCCAAGAACGUGCUGUUUUCUGGCCACCAUAUGAAAGUCACUUGCUGCAAUCUACCAAAGCUCAAAUCUCGAAACCAGCGCCAGACUGGGAGGGUACAGCCAUUGUUGAUGGUGAAAUUAAAACAAUAAAGCUGGGAGAUUACAAAGGAAAAUACCUUAUUUUCUUUUUUUACCCUCUUGAUUUCACUUUUGUAUGUCCAACUGAGAUCAUUGCCUUCUCAGACAGGGUUGCUGAGUUUAAGAAAAUUAAUGCUGAAGUUGUGGCAGCUUCUGUUGAUUCUCACUUCACCCAUCUCGCAUGGUUAAACACCCAUCGCUCUGAGGGAGGUCUUGGAAAACUCAACAUUCCUCUUCUGUCCGAUCUCACUCAUAAGAUAUCAAGGGAUUAUGGAGUCCUUCUGGAGGACCUCGGACACACUCUUCGUGGGCUCUUCAUCAUUGAUCCCAAAGGUAUCUUGAGACAGAUCACUAUGAAUGAUCUUCCAGUUGGAAGAUCUGUAGACGAGACUUUGAGAUUGGUCCAAGCAUUCCAACAUACUGAUGAGCAUGGUGAGGUCUGUCCUGCUGGUUGGGAGCCAGGUAAAGACACCAUUAUUCCAGACCCCAAGGAUAAACUGAAGUACUUCCACAAAACAUCAAAAGCCAAGGGUGAAUUGUAAACUGUUGAAAUGUCAUCUGUGUCUUGUUUUGUUGGUUGUUGUUGUUUGUAGGGUGUGUGUUUGUUUAAGAUGAAGCAGCUGUAGGGUUAUCAGUGCAAUUUCAAGAAAGAAAUAGUUUAAUCACUUUAAUGUGUCUGUUUUCAAGAAAGCAAUAGUUUAAUCCCUUUAAGUGUCUGUUAAAAGCUGUGCGUAUUUAUCUUAAACUUUUGUAAAAUUUAGCAGCCUUUAAAUUGAAAAAAAAACUGUUAUGUUUGUUGCUAUUAUCUAAUUGUGCCAAAGUUAAGUUUCUGUACCAAAAUUAUAUUGUAAUUCAUUUUCUAAAACAAUUGUGUCAUGUUCUGCAAUUUAAUUGUGUCGGACUGUCGGUUACCUGUAUGUGUAAUAAAGCAAUGUUUUUGCGAUUUUGUUGGUCAUGUAUUGUAUGUGUGGACUAAAAUGUGUUUAUGUUUCGUUUCAACA